rnacentral:rRNA from 1 species
AGGGUUGCUGGAGGUAUCAGAAGUGCGAAUGCUGACAUAAGUAACGAUAAAGCGGGUGAAAAGCCCGCUCGCCGGAAGACCAAGGGUUCCUGUCCAACGUUAAUCGGGGCAGGGUGAGUCGACCCCUAAGGCGAGGCCGAAAGGCGUAGUCGAUGGGAAACGGGUUAAUAUUCCCGUACUUGGUGUUACUGCGAAGGGGGGACGGAGAAGGCUAUGUUGGCCGGGCGACGGUUGUCCCGGUUUAAGCGUGUAGGCUGGUUUUCCAGGCAAAUCCGGAAAAUCAAGGCUGAGGCGUGACGACGAGGCACUACGGUGCUGAAGCAACAAAUGCCCUGCUUCCAGGAAAAGCCUCUAAGCAUCAGGUAACAUCAAAUCGUACCCCAAACCGACACAGGUGGUCAGGUAGAGAAUACCAAGGCGCUUGAGAGAACUCGGGUGAAGGAACUAGGCAAAAUGGUGCCGUAACUUCGGGAGAAGGCACGCUGACACGUAGGUGAAGUGAUUUACUCAUGGAGCUGAAGUCAGUCGAAGAUACCAGCUGGCUGCAACUGUUUAUUAAAAACACAGCACUGUGCAAACACGAAAGUGGACGUAUACGGUGUGACGCCUGCCCGGUGCCGGAAGGUUAAUUGAUGGGGUCAGCGCAAGCGAAGCUCCUGAUCGAAGCCCCGGUAAACGGCGGCCGUAACUAUAACGGUCCUAAGGUAGCGAAAUUCCUUGUCGGGUAAGUUCCGACCUGCACGAAUGGCGUAAUGAUGGCCAGGCUGUCUCCACCCGAGACUCAGUGAAAUUGAACUCGCUGUGAAGAUGCAGUGUACCCGCGGCAAGACGGAAAGACCCCGUGAACCUUUACUAUAGCUUGACACUGAACAUUGAGCCUUGAUGUGUAGGAUAGGUGGGAGGCUUUGAAGUGUGGACGCCAGUCUGCAUGGAGCCGACCUUGAAAUACCACCCUUUAAUGUUUGAUGUUCUAACGUGGACCCGUAAUCCGGGUUGCGGACAGUGUCUGGUGGGUAGUUUGACUGGGGCGGUCUCCUCCUAAAGAGUAACGGAGGAGCACGAAGGUUGGCUAAUCCUGGUCGGACAUCAGGAGGUUAGUGCAAUGGCAUAAGCCAGCUUGACUGCGAGCGUGACGGCGCGAGCAGGUGCGAAAGCAGGUCAUAGUGAUCCGGUGGUUCUGAAUGGAAGGGCCAUCGCUCAACGGAUAAAAGGUACUCCGGGGAUAACAGGCUGAUACCGCCCAAGAGUUCAUAUCGACGGCGGUGUUUGGCACCUCGAUGUCGGCUCAUCACAUCCUGGGGCUGAAGUAGGUCCCAAGGGUAUGGCUGUUCGCCAUUUAAAGUGGUACGCGAGCUGGGUUUAGAACGUCGUGAGACAGUUCGGUCCCUAUCUGCCGUGGGCGCUGGAGAACUGAGGGGGGCUGCUCCUAGUACGAGAGGACCGGAGUGGACGCAUCACUGGUGUUCGGGUUGUCAUGCCAAUGGCACUGCCCGGUAGCUAAAUGCGGAAGAGAUAAGUGCUGAAAGCAUCUAAGCACGAAACUUGCCCCGA